AGGGACCUACGGGGCGCAGCAGUGAGGAAUAUUGGUCAAUGGGCGAGAGCCUGAACCAGCCAAGUCGCGUGAGGGAAGACGGUCCUAUGGAUUGUAAACCUCUUUUGCCGGGGAGCAAAAAGCGGUACGUGUACCGCAUCGAGAGUACCCGGAGAAAAAGAAUCGGCUAAGUCCGUGCCAGCAGCCGCGGUAAUACGGAGGAUGCGAGCGGUAUCCGGAUUUAUUGGGUUUAA
rnacentral:rRNA from 1 species